AUUUGAACCAUGUUUCUUUUCUCCUAAUUUUGGCAGCAUCCCUGUGUUCAUUUGUAUGUAUUAAGUAGAGAUGCUUGUCUUGCAUGUGUGU